GGCCGGUUGGCGCAAUGGUAGCGCGUGGUCCUCCUAUGAGGUUCAGACCGAGGUUGAGGGUUCGAGUCCCUUGCUGGUCG
rnacentral:tRNA from 1 species